AUACGUAGGUGACAAGCGUUAUCCGGAUUUACUGGGCGUAAAGGGCGUGUAGGCGGUCUUGCAAGUCAGAAGUGAAAUUCCUGAGCUCAACUCGGGCGCUGCUUCUGAAACUGCAGGACUUGAGUGCUGGAGGGGAUAGCGGAAUUCCUAGUGGAGCGGUAAAAUGCGCAGAUAUUAGGAGGAACACCGGUGGCGAAGGCGGCUUUCUGGACAGUAACUGACGCUGAGGCGCGAAAGCGUGGGGAGCAAACAGGAUUAGAUACCCUGGUAGUCCACGCUAUAAACGAUGAAUACUAGGUGUAGGGGGUAUCGACCCCCUCUGUGCCGACGUUAACACAUUAAGUAUUCCACCUGGGGAGUACGGCCGCAAGGCUGAAACUCAAAUGAAUUGACGGGG
rnacentral:rRNA from 1 species